CUCUUGAGAGCGGCGGACGGGUGAGUAAUGCCUAGGAAUCUGCCUGGUAGUGGGGGAUAACGUUCGGAAACGGACGCUAAUACCGCAUACGUCCUGCGGGAGAAAGCAGGGGACCUUCGGGCCUUGCGCUAUCAGAUGAGCCUAGGUCGGAUUAGCUAGUUGGUGAGGUAAUGGCUCACCAAGGCGACGAUCCGUAACUGGUCUGAGAGGAUGAUCAGUCACACUGGAACUGAGACACGGUCCAGACUCCUACGGGAGGCAGCAGUGGGGAAUAUUGGACAAUGGGCGAAAGCCUGAUCCAGCCAUGCCGCGUGUGUGAAGAAGGUCUUCGGAUUGUAAAGCACUUUAAGUUGGGAGGAAGGGCAGUUACCUAAUACGUGAUUGUUUUGACGUUACCGACAGAAUAAGCACCGGCUAACUCUGUGCCAGCAGCCGCGGUAAUACAGAGGGUGCAAGCGUUAAUCGGAAUUACUGGGCGUAAAGCGCGCGUAGGUGGUUUGUUAAGUUGGAUGUGAAAUCCCCGGGCUCAACCUGGGA
rnacentral:rRNA from 1 species